GCCCCCUCCCCGUGCCGGCGCGGGGCGAUGACGCCGCGCGGACAAGGUGGAGGCGAGCAGGUGUAUCCGAGUGACUUGCCAUGCUGUGCAUCGCACCACUUCAGAAAUGAGGAUGGGAACUGACUGCCAUCUCAGAUGGAUGUUUCAGCUUCUAUAACCUGCUAAUAUCUGAGGCUCCACAGAUUCAUCAAUCAAUCUUUUUCAGACAAGAGGAGUCAGAGAUCUCCAAGCGUCAGCAGGUUCACAUCCGGUGUUGCUCUCACUGUAAAAGUCUUCUGCUUAUCUGUCAACCGUACCAUCCUGCUCCGCUCCUCAGGCUCAGCGCUUAUGGCCUCAACCUCUCCCAUUGCCCUCCUUACCCCAGGGUUAGCACCGUUCGCAGAGACCAUUAUCGCAGGUUCACCAAUUUCUCCAGCUCACUGAUUUCUCAGUUUCUGUGCCUUUCACAAAUUUGUUAAAUUCACUUAACUUCAUGGCAAAUAACAGGUCUGGUGAAGGGAACUGUGAAGCCUGUAGAAGCUGCUGACUCUCAUUUCUGCAUGGACUAGAAGAGGUAGUAACAUAGAGACUUUAUAGCAUACAAAUGCAGUAACUGCUCCUCUAUUCAGUGCUACAGGCUGGGUAAAGGAGUACAUGGUAAAGACACAGUGCUGGUUAUUUUGCAUGAAUGUUAAGGUGGUUUUGAAUCUUGAUUUGGGAUUUGGUUUGAUUUAGCGUAUGUUUGGCAAGGAAAGUGGCUAAAAUUGGCUACAUUGGUCAUAGUAAAAUGAUUUUUUUUUUUUUUGAGGCUAAGAGAUGUUAUUACUAAUUGUCAUGGAGUUUAAAGCCUAAUGUUAGUACAGCAAAUUCUGGCUUGAUACUAUAUUCCAUACGGAUGCCAAAUUUCCUGUUGUUGCCAAGGGUGCAGGGAUCAGUCCUUAGAUAAAUUACACCAGUAUGCUUCCAAAUGCAAAACCUCUAAUAAUUUUCUUAGCAUGAAAUUAACUGAUGACUUUUUGUGUUAUCUGUCCGUUCAGAUAUAGUGCUGGCACGGUACAGCUCUCAUUUUAUGGAAUAAAGCAGGACAGGCUUUCAUGACUUUUGCAAUGACAAGAUUCUCGCUUUUCUUGUAAAGUGCUGGGCAGCCAUAGUUUCCACUAGAGUUAGCAAGAGCUUACGGUUUUCAGCACCUCAUUGCUGGCAUUUCGAAUCUCACAGGACUGGAACCAGAAGUACUUAGCAUUUUAAAUGCUUUUGUAAACACAUUAAUCUUCAUAAUGGCCCUGAGAGAUGAGCAGUUAUCAUCUCCAUUUACAAAUGAGAAACCAGAAGGACAGGAAGCUGUCCUUCUCAGGGACACAAAGCGAGAGAGGAAAACUGGGAUUAGAGCGCUAUCUCAUGCUUAAUCCACUCUGCAGCAUCUCUUCUCCUGUCAGAUUUUUCUUGAAAAGAAGAUGACUAUCUCAUGAGACUGUAUUCCAGGAAACCCAAUUUCCAAUGAAAAAAAUGACUUGAGUGUGGCAGCACUGAUUUAUCUAUAUUUUUAUGCCACACUUAUCACUCAGGCACCUGAUCAUUUCACCCUUUCCUUGAAACUAGGAAAGGAUUUUAAUGCUUAAUAAAUACUGCUUAAUACUUUAUUAAAGUAUUUUAAUAUUACAAAGACCACCAGUCUCUUUCACUGUAAUACAACGAUCAAAAUGUUAAGUCUUCAAUAGCAGACAGUAGCAGACAUAGUCCUUUAUAUGGACAGUCUUUAAUUAUGUCACUUUCCUCUCUAUUUGGUACUUCAGUCAAGAGCAAAGCAAAAUCUCUGUCUCCUGUGCAGGCAGUGACCCCUUGCAUGCGUGCUCUUCAACCCAUGCCCCUGAUAUGGUGGCUCUCAUUAAUCCUACCAAGAAGGAAGGGAGGGAGAUAUCCGCUCCGUUAUUAUUUUUGGCCACUUGACUUCUCUUUCCAGAGAUAGUUGAUAGUCCUCAGAGUUUGCAGAAACUUUUUUUAUAUUGUUGUUUCAUAAAGCAUCAAGAUAUCAAUAUAGAUGGCCACACAGUAGAUUCCUGCAUGAUUAACCAUACUGCUGGCAGAGCAGACGAACCACCUCAGUGUCACAGAACCAUUUCUACGACCUUGUUUCAUUUUCCUCCUCUAACCCGUCAUCUGCCUCAUUUGAUACAUUGAUAAGGACAAGCCCAUUGUUAAAAAUAGUACAAGUGGGAAAGGGUGUGGAGAAAAUUGCUUAUUUUUCAUUUACUAUUAGAGCUAAAAUGAAUUUUACAAAUGUCUAAAACAUGACGUGACUUUAAAGCAAAAGCAACAGUCACAUCUCAUUAACUGCAGCACUAAACUUUUAGUUGGAGUAUUUGCUGUGUCUGAUUUCCAAGAGAGCCUUUUUCAGUGCCUCUGUUACUUUUUAUUUGCCUGUUUUUGAGCUAGAAAGCAGAUUUCAAAUCAUUUAUCUCUGUGUGAAGAAGAAUUACCCUUUCUACUCUCUAGACAAAAAAAAAAUGGCAAAUCACAGAGAGUGACCUUGUUACCACACAUUUUUGUCCACUUUGCAUAAUUCAGGGACAAAACAGCAUCUUUUAUUUGAGCACAUUUUUCUCUUAAAAGAUCUUUUCUUUCACCUGAUUAAAUAGUCUCUCAGCAGAAGGGCAGCCAAUUGCACAAUGUGCUAGCGAGGAUAUUGCUCUUAAGUCUUAUGUUUUAUCUGCUGCCUUGGCACAUCUAUCUUGGCACAUAGCUCUUCUAUCUGUCACCUCUAAGGACCAGAGCUCAAACCUCAGACUCAGGCCUCUGGUGAUGGACACCCUACCUGUCUACUAAUACUGGACAGGGGUUCUUCUAGCUCUCUUUUAGUGCUUACAGAUCAAUGUUUUGCAUGGUGAUAAAACCAUGUACCUGAGUGGGCGUUAUGGGCUGGAAUUUCUACGUUUGGCCCCACCAGCAGGGGUGGGCACAGGCAUGUGACAUGAAAGCUGUGUAUAGCAAGGUUUGGAGCAUGGCAGGGGAGCACCUGAAAGUCAGAGACUUUGUGGGAUGCUGUUCAAGGCUUUUCUCCAUGCCCAGAGAGAGUCAGAUUUGCUGGGGUCAUUCAUACCAUGAAUUGUCUGGUCAGCUGUGCGUGGGUUUCAUUCUGCAGAGAUCUAAUUAGCUCCCUUCAAAAAGGAGUCUGGCCAUAGCACAGCAUUCGUUUGGGAUGGAAAAUCAAGGCCAAUGGAGUGAAACAAGGAGGGAGUCAAACCUGAUAAUGUAGAUACCUCCUUGACUUGCAAGAGCACAUGCCUUCCAUCUUGCUGAGCUCAGCCUCGUGCUUUUGGCCCCAUUCUGAUAUCCUUACUCGGCCUUCUGUGCAUGUCAGUCAAGAAGAAGGUGCUCAUAUGAUAACCAUGAUCACUGCUUUGUCUAAAACACUUUAUCUAAACCACGAGUGCUGGAGACUUGUCCCCCACACUGCGGGGGGGGGGGGGGG